UACGAAGGGUGCAAACGUUGCUCGGAAUCAUUGGGCGUAAAGCGCACGUAGGCGGCUUCAAAAGUCGGAUGUGAAAUCCCUCGGCUCAACCGAGGACGUGCAUCCGAAACUGUGAGGCUUGAGUACUGAAGAGGAUCGCGGAAUUCCCGGUGUAGAGGUGAAAUUCGUAGAUAUCGGGAGGAACACCAGUGGCGAAGGCGGCGAUCUGGGCAGAUACUGACGCUGAGGUGCGAAAGCGUGGGGAGCAAAUGGG
rnacentral:rRNA from 1 species